rnacentral:tRNA from 1 species
GAUUCCGUAGCUCAGUCGGUAGAGCACUUGACUUUUAAUCAAGUGGUCAUGGGUUCGAGCCCCAUCGGGAUCA